UACGUAGGGGGCUAGCGUUGUCCGGAAUCAUUGGGCGUAGAGAGCGUGUAGGCGGCCCGGUAAGUCCGCUGUGAAAGUCGGGGGCUCAACCCUCGGAUGCCGGUGGAUACUGUCGGGCUUGAGUACGGAAGAGGCGAGUGGAAUUCCUGGUGUAGCGGUGAAAUGCGCAGAUAUCAGGAGGAACACCAAUUGCGAAGGCAGCUCGCUGGGACGUUACUGACGCUGAGACGCGAAAGCGUGGGGAGCAAACAGG
rnacentral:rRNA from 1 species